CAGAAAAUCGUCUAGUUACUUUAAUAUGUAAUGAUCUUUUAUACAGUCUAUGGUAAUGAUAGCGAAAUUUAAUCAAGAGGAAACAACAAUAACAUUAGAAGGUGUCUCACUGUCGAACAUUUAACAGGUCCGUCAGACAGCAAGUGCAGCACGCCUUCAAUCUCCUCCCUCUCCCAGUCGGAGUUUCAGGCUAGGAACUGUUGAGUUGGCAGUAAAAUACCUCUUUCCACACAGCGAUGGUGGUAUAGUGGUCUGGUUGUGUGCAGUAAAGUUUGAGCAGCAUGGAAGAGACUUUGGAGGACGGUCCUGGAAGUGUUGAAGCAAGAAAGGAGUAUUCAACACCAACAGGGCCUGUGAGAGACACAUUCUUCAGCCAUCGCCUUGCAAGGUCUGGUUGUGUGCAGUAAAGUUUGAGCAGCAUGGAAGAGACUUUGGAGGACGGUCCUGGAAGUGUUGAAGCAACAAAGGAGUAUUCAACACCAACAGGGCCUGUGAGAGACACAUUCUUCAGCCAUCGCCUUGCAAGGUGAAUCUCAUCCGUCCAGGGAAACAUACCUUAAGGGAGUUGUCAUCUCAUUGGUGACGCUCCUUGGUGUUCACAUUCGCAGCUCAGGACUCCUGGAUGACCUCUCCCCUCAGCUGCUCAUGAGUUCUCCUGAGGAAGAGCUGGGCUAUGAUGGGUUGCCCAGACACUUCACCCUCCCAGCUCGCUCGUAGAAGGAGGCAAGACGAGCUCCCAGGUAGGCAGGAUACCCGCUGUCUUUGUGCAGAGACAGAAAACACUUUAAACACGGAGGAUCGGCUGCCAAGCAGGUCAGCAGAAUUACAUAACACAAGGACUUGAACCAGUGACCCUCCGGUUACCUGCAGACCGAGCUACUGCUGCCCCCAACGUCAGAGGUCAAAAUGUCAAGUUAUGAGAUAUAAAGUUAGAAUUACAACAAACAA